UGGGUGCACAGUACACACACGUGCGU
rnacentral:piRNA from 1 species